AAAUAGUGAUAUUAGUACUGUUGUAGUAGUUCAUACUUGAUACUUGAUUUAUGGUACAGACAUCUGUAGUUUACCAAUACACAAUCAUGUUUAUUGCUUAACUGUGGCAAACUUACUUAUAUGUACCUAUGAAUAAAUAUUUUUUUCUAUAGAUUCUAUUUAGUUGAUACAUUUAAUAUUAUUUAAUAUCUAGUGUAUGAUUCAUGAAAGUGAAUAUUAUCGUUUUGAUCAACAUAACCUAGUCUGUAUGUUUAUACUUCAUUGACUGCUAUCAAAGAUUAAUGGCUGCUACUGAUCAUUUAGAAGAUGUUAUUAAACCUAUUGAAGAAUAUAAUUUAUCGAAAUUAAAUCUAUUAUGGUGGAUGAUGAAUCAAUAUUUGUAUCACAGUCUACUUUAUUCUGUUAGAACAAAACAAUAUCAACUUUUAACUACAUCUUAUAAAACAGGUCUAGGGGAAGUAGACGAAGAUGAUAGAUUACGUUUGCUGUGAACAUGAGCAAUUUUGCUUUCCGAUACCGCAUUUUGAAAAGGAAUUACGUUACCCUGGAUAUCAUAAACUGUUGCCACACGUUGGGCUAAGUUGUUUGUAAGUGGCGUAUCUAUAUAAUAAUAUCAUUAUAAUAUUAUCAUAAUAUCUAUUAUGGUAAUUGGGUACUAAAGCCAUAGCGCGGAUGCGCUAAUGACGUGGACCUUAUACUUUCUCUGAUAACGGAGCAUAUAUCAGCAUACGUGCGCACUAGACGACAUGCAAAACCGAACUGAGUUUUUUUAAAUAUCAAUAUUGUCAAAGCCUUUAUUGAGUGCAAGUUUAAUUUAUGGUUAUACAAAAUUUGUAAACAAGAUAAAACUUAAUAUAUCAGAAUUCAGGAUUGGCAGAAGCAAGAACAAUGACAUAUAUUUAUAAUAUCAAAUGUAAUGAAGUUUGGACUAUGGAUGCAAAAACUUAUAUAGAAACUAUGUUAAAGGAAGAAAAUGGUUUGUUUUCUUCUUUGCUGCCACCAAAUUAUUUGGUAAUAGAUCUUAGCAUCCUAAUUUCACCUCAAUCGCUGGCUCCUGAGUAUUAGUGAAUUUUGGAAACUAAUGGAUCUGAACUUUAGGAUGUUACUUUUUCAAUACAUCUUCGUUCUCUUAAACAACUAUUUGAAGACUCAAUCAUAGAAAUAAAGAUUCAUGCUUCAUUAGAUUGGUGGUAACUGAAGAUGGUAUAAUAGUAUUUGGACAAAAAAAAAUGUUUGAGUAGCAGCUAGUCCAUAUUUCCUUAUUAGUUAUUAUAUUAAACAGUUUUGGGAAGAACAAUAAUUCAAAUCUUGGUUUUAUAAUUAAAGUUGAUUCCGCCGCUUUAAUACUGUUUGUAGAUUAAUCCUGUACUGGCAAAAUGAUGGUUACCAAUAAAAAUGUACAGGUUAUUUUUAAAUCAGCUGCAAUCGAUUGGUUAGACCAGAGGUAUUCAAACUGUGCGUCGCGGCUCCCAGGGGCGUCGCGGGAGUUGUCGAAGGGAGCCGCGUAGUAUAAUUGAAAACCAAUAAAUAUAUUUACGAAAAAUGUUUACUAUUAUCAUUGAGGCACACCGGUUGGGAAACGUUGCAUUAUCUACUACAAUCAUUCGCUAAAUUUAGCUUUAAUUUUUUUAUUUAUGUAAUAUGGUAAAUAAAUAAUAAAAUAUAAAUUACAUUCAUAUAAACAUUGAUUUUUUUGUCAUUUAUAAUUUGGGAGCCGUCAACAUUUUGUGAAGACUUAAAGGAGCCGUGUGAUGAAAAAGUUUGAAUACCUCUGGGUUAGACUAUGCAAGUGAUGUAUGUGCAGCGUUUUUACAAACACAAAUAGAUAUUUCAAAUUGUCUCUAUAAAAUCAUUUACCGACUUACAUAAUUGUGCAGAGCUGUUGUCAAGUUCUGUAGCAUUUAUGAACAUUUUUUUAGCAAUGGUUAAAGAUGAUGAGUUCCUAUCAUUAUCUUGUGAAAAAUUGAUUUACAUUAUUUUCUGUAAUGAUCUUACCAAUCCAUUUGAGGAAAAAAUAAGCCCUCUGAAUAGUCCAACUAUUAUAAAUAUUCCUACAUGAUCAUCAUGCCAGUGUGUGCUUAUACGCUAAGAAAUCAUUGACUAGGCGAGACAAUCAUUUCUCCAUCCACUUCAGCUUCCAUCGACUGUCGUAUCGCUACUAUUGCAGUUUACAUCACUGCCAAGAGAGUGCCAGUGUGUAAGUCCGCCUGCAACAUGUAAGCUGUGUGAGAGGCCGCUCAGGACAUCAAGGCCAACUUCAUAACUGGAUUGCUGUCGACUCAAGACACCCGCUGUCUUUGGAUGUGUUAUUAAAUGAGUACAUGAUUUUGAUUGGAGAAAAAUGUAUCACCAGAAUUAAUGGAGCAUAUGUGUUUGCCAGUAUUAACAUCAACACCUGAUGUAUUACAUAAUGUAGUUCUAACUUCUGAAAAAUAAUUAUAAAUGUAAUGAUUUUGCAUUAGAAGCUUUACAAUUCAAAUUACAGAAGUCAGUUCAACCUUUAGCGAUUACAAAUAUGAAUCGGUGCAGAGGUUUUUGAUGUCAGUGUUCAAAAAUGUAAAAUAGUAACUAGCAUGACUACUAACAGAAGUGAUUUAGGUGUUGCUAUACUCAAUAAUCGUUUAUAUGCGGUGAAUAAAUUUGUAAAAAAUUUUAUAUAAUUGUGUUGAUACGAGGUAAAGUAGUUAU